rnacentral:rRNA from 1 species
GAUGAACGCUGGCGGCGUGCCUAAUACACGCAAGUCGAGCGAAUGGAUUAAGAGCUUGCUCUUAUGAAGUUAGCGGCGGACGGGUGAGUAACACGUGGGUAACCUGCCCAUAAGACUGGGAUAACUCCGGGAAACCGGGGCUAAUACCGGAUAACACUUUGAACCGCAUGGUUCGAAAUUGAAAGGCGGCUUCGGCUGUCACUUAUGGAUGGACCCGCGUCGCAUUAGCUAGUUGGUGAGGUAACGGCUCACCAAGGCAACGAUGCGUAGCCGACCUGGGAGGGUGAGCGGCCACGCUGGGACUGAGACACGGCCCAGACUCCUACGGGAGGCAGCAGUAGGGAAGCUUCCGCAAUGGACGAAAGUCUGACGGAGCAACGCCGCGUGAGUGAUGAAGGCUUUCGGGUCGUAAAACUCUGUUGUUAGGGAAGAACAAGUGCUAGUUGAAUAAGCUGGCACCUUGACGGUACCUAACCAGAAAGCCACGGCUAACUACGUGCCAGCAGCCGCGGUAA